rnacentral:rRNA from 1 species
UGAAGAUACCUUGUUACGACUUCACCCCAAUCAUCGACCAUACCUUGGGCGCCUACCUCCUUGGGGUUAGCACAGCGACUUCUGGUACGACCAACUCUCAUGGUGUGACGGCCGGUGUGUACAAGGCCCGGGAACGUAUUCACCGCGGNGUUCUGAUCCGCGAUUACUAGNGAUUCCAACUUCAUGCUCUCGAGUUGCAGAGAGCAAUCUGAACUUAGAUGGCUUUAAGGGAUUGGAUCCACCU